AGGAGAGAAUGAGGUAGAUAAAUAAGAGAAUGGGAGUGGCAGGAGGCAUCUUUGCCCUGUAAAACAAACUCUGGGAAGACAUAUUUUCUUCUUUGAAAUGCUUGCUGCUAUAAUAAUGGAGUAUUGUCAGUAAUUAGGGUUUUGGACAUACUCUACAUUGGGGGUGAUGACUAUGAUGUUCACACUAUAUUGAAGGAUGGAGGACGGGAGAGAGCACUUUUAUUUCUCUUCUCCUACCUAGGCUCCCUCACUCUCUAAUCUCUAUUU
rnacentral:misc_RNA from 1 species